rnacentral:rRNA from 1 species
UACUUUCUACACGGCGUGAGCGCACUAAACACCUAAACGUAUGUACCAGCAGUCAGCAAGUUUUAACAAAACAAAACUUUCAACAACGGAUCUCUUGGUUCUCGCAUCGAUGAAGAGCGCAGCGAAAUGCGAUACCUAGUGUGAAUUGCAGCCAUCGUGAAUCAUCGAGUUCUUGAACGCACAUUGCGCCCCUCGGCAUUCCGGGGGGCAUGCCUGUUUGAGCGUCGUUUCCAUCUUGCCUUGUGCAGAAAUGGCUUGGCCUCGGCCCUGCUGAAAGGAAACGGAGUGGCGAAGCGAACUAGACAGGACGCUUGGCGCUCGUAGAGUAAUAACAUAAGCUCGACCUCAAAUCAGGUAGGAAUACCCGCUGAACUUAAGCAUAUCAAUAAGCGGAGGA